GACGAACGCUGGCGGCGUGCUUAACACAUGCAAGUCGAGCGAGGCCCCUCCUUCGGGAGGGUGUCCUAGCGGCGAACGGGUGAGUAACACGUGGGCAACCUGCCCUCAGCUCUGGGAUAACUCCGGGAAACCGGGGCUAAUACCGGAUACGACCUCCACGGGCAUCUGCGGAGGUGGAAAGUUUUUCGGCUGAGGAUGGGCCCGCGGCCUAUCAGCUAGUUGGUGGGGUAGUGGCCCACCAAGGCGACGACGGGUAGCCGGCCUGAGAGGGCGACCGGCCACACUGGGACUGAGACACGGCGCAGACUCCUACGGGAGGCAGCAGUGGGGAAUAUUGCGCAAUGGGCGAAAGCCUGACGCAGCGACGCCGCGUGAGGGACGAAGGCCUUCGGGUUGUAAACCUCUUUCAGCAGGGACGAAGCGAAAGUGACGGUACCUGCAGAAGAAGCACCGGCCAACUACGUG
rnacentral:rRNA from 1 species